AAAUAGAUACCCCGGGUAGUCCACGCCGUAAACGAUGAGUGCUAAGUGUUAGAGGGUUUCCGCCCUUUAGUGCUGCAGCUAACGCAUUAAGCACUCCGCCUGGGGAGUACGGCCGCAAGGCUGAAACUCAAAGGAAUUGACGGGGGCCCGCACAAGCGGUGGGGCAUGUGGUUUAAUUCGAAGCAACGCGAAGAACCUUACCAGGUCUUGACAUCCUCUGCCAACCCUAGAGAUAGGGCGUUCCCCUUCGGGGGACAGAGUGACAGGUGGUGCAUGGUUGUCGUCAGCUCGUGUCGUGAGAUGUUGGGUUAAGUCCCGCAACGAGCGCAACCCUUGAUCUUAGUUGCCAGCAUUCAGUUGGGCACUCUAAGGUGACUGCCAGUGACAAACCGGAGGAAGGUGGGGAUGACGUCAAAUCAUCAUGCCCCUUAUGACCUGGGCUACACACGUGCUACAAUGGAUGGUACAAAGAGCUGCGAACCCGCGAGGGUAAGCGAAUCUCAUAAAGCCAUUCUCAGUUCGGA
rnacentral:rRNA from 1 species